rnacentral:lncRNA from 1 species
UAUGGUGGAGCUAGCGGAAUUGUUGGUCUUAUAUCAUGAGCUAAAAAAACUAAUCAAAUUGCAUGACCAACCAAAUUUCAUGGGCAAGCAUCUGACCAAUCAAACUUCAUAUCAUCAAGUAUGAAGCAUAUUCUUUGAAUUCUUUUCCUUUUUCCUCCAGCGUACACGUUAUACAACCAACCAAACGGUCUCAGUUCACCAGUUGGUGGUGCGGUAGCCUUCCUCAACAGGGGAAUGGCAGUUUGGAAAUGAGUAUUACACACCGGUCGUUCACACAAUGGCCAGGUAACGUCCUACCGAAUCACUGGUGACCACCCAGGAAGCAACACAAAGUGCAUACAGAAAGGCGUUUCAGCAGUUCUAAUUAUUGUAAUUUUUUCUUUUCACUUUUCAAGCAUACUCGCGGCAUAACUUCUUUUCCAUUGUUUCACAGGUCAAUAGUGCUACAAGGUCAUCCAGGUAUCCGGCAGCGAACUUCGAAUUUUCUGCAUUAGCGAGCAGUGCUGAAGUUAGGCACAAAUGGUUAUGUAAG